rnacentral:rRNA from 1 species
GGGAGCGGGGGAUAAYAUUUGGAAACAGAUGCURAUACCGAAUAACAAUUUGAAUCGCAUGAUUCAAAAUUAAAAGAUGGCUUCGGCUAUCACUUUGGGAUGGACCUGCGGCGCAUUAGCUUGUUGGUAGGGUAACGGCCUACCGAGGCUGUGAUGCGUAGCCKAGUUGAGAGACUGAUCGGCCACAAUGGAACUGAGACACGGUCCAUACUCCUACGGGAGGCAGCAGUAGGGAAUCUUCCACAAUGGGCGCAAGCCUGAUGGAGCAACACCGCGUGAGUGAAGAAGGGUUUCGGCUCGUAAAGCUCUGUCGUUAGAGAAGAACGUGCGUGAGAGUAACUGUUCACGCAGUGACGGUAUCUAACCAGAAAGUCACGGCUAACUACGUGCCAGCAGCCGCGGUAAUACGUAGGUGGCAAGCGUUAUCCGGAUUUAUUGGGCGUAAAGCGAGCGCAGGCGGUUUGAUAAGUCUGAUGUGAAAGCCUUUGGCUUAACCAAAGAAGUGCAUCGGAAACUGUCAGACUUGAGUGCAGAAGAGGACAGUGGAACUCCAUGUGUAGCGGUGGAAUGCGUAGAUAUAUGGAAGAACACCAGUGGCGAAGGCGGCUGUCUGGUCUGCAACUGACGCUGAGGCUCGAAAGCAUGGGUAGCGAACAGGAUUAGAUACCCUGGUAGUCCAUGCCGUAAACGAUGAGUGCUAGGUGUUGGAGGGUUUCCGCCCUUCAGUGCCGCAGCUAACGCAUUAAGCACUCCGCCUGGGGAGUACGACCGCAAGGUUGAAACUCAAAGGAAUUGACGGGGGCCCGCACAAGCGGUGGAGCAUGUGGUUUAAUUCGAAGCUACGCGAAGAACCUUACCAGGUCUUGACAUCUUGCGCCAACCCUAGAGAUAGGGCGUUUCCUUCGGGAACGCAAUGACAGGUGGUGCAUGGUCGUCGUCAGCUCGUGUCGUGAGAUGUUGGGUUAAGUCCCGCAACGAGCGCAACCCUUGUUACUAGUUGCCAGCAUUCAGUUGGGCACUCUAGUGAGACUGCCGGUGACAAACCGGAGGAAGGUGGGGACGACGUCAGAUCAUCAUGCCCCUUAUGACCUGGGCUACACACGUGCUACAAUGGACGGUACAACGAGUCGCGAACUCGCGAGGGCAAGCUAAUCUCUUAAAACCGUUCUCAGUUCGGACUGCAGGCUGCAAUUGGCGWUCACAA